GAUGGACGCUGACAGAAUGCUUAACACAUGCAAGUCAACUUGAAUUUGGGUUUUUAACUUAGGUUUGGGUGGCGGACGGGUGAGUAACGCGUAAAGAACUUGCCUCACAGCUAGGGACAACAUUUGGAAACGAAUGCUAAUACCUAAUAUUAUGAUAAUAGGGCAUCCUAUAAUUAUGAAAGCUAUAAGCGCUGUGAGAGAGCUUUGCGUCCCAUUAGCUAGUUGGAGAGGUAACGGCUCACCAAGGCGAUGAUGGGUAGCCGGCCUGAGAGGGUGAUCGGCCACAAGGGGACUGAGACACGGCCCUUACUCCUACGGGAGGCAGCAGUGGGGAAUAUUGGACAAUGGACCGAGAGUCUGAUCCAGCAAUUCUGUGUGCACGAUGAAGUUUUUCGGAAUGUAAAGUGCUUUCAGUUGGGAAGAAACAAAUGACGGUACCAACAGAAGAAGUGACGGCUAAAUACGUG
rnacentral:rRNA from 1 species